GGAAUAGCGCCUUCUCCUCAGGCAGAAAUCGGAAGAGUGUACGAAAGGGAAUGGCACCUUUGCCUCAGGAGGGAUAUUGCACAUAUCCACGAAGGAACUGAUGCAGGCAUGCACAGAUGCUCAGAAAAAUGCUAAGGAGGACGAAUUUUAAUGGAAGAGGGCUAGGAACACCGAGCCUGAACAGCUCCUUGCUCUUGAGGUUGGUGCCAUUACAUCUUCUUGGGCCAAGCUGGAUGAGGACAGAGUCCUGCUCCCAGGUAACCCUGCCCAGCACCAGGACUCAGCUCAGGGAAGAGGCAUUUGCUCAGCCUCCUGUAUAUUAUACUAUUUACACAGCCAUUGGUUGCACCCCAUUGCCAGCUGGGCAGGUGAUGGGGUGUUUUUGACACAAGGGACUCUCCCACUGGUACCAUUUAAAAAAAUACAAUUCAUACUUUUAAAAAAUUUAAACUAAUUUCCUUUCCUGAUUCUGUUCACUGUCCUUGCGAAUACAGCAACGUUUGAUUUACCACCACCUACACAAAGAGAUCAAACCUUUGCAUUUGCCAGGGUUUAACCACUUCACACAGCAGAGAAAGGGCUGCCCUCUGGCACCAGCUGGCACGUGGUGUCCCUGUCCCCCAUGUGUGCCCCUAUGUCACCCAUGGGCGAUGCCGGGCACACACUGACUCACAAGGCUGCACCAUGCCAGGACAACCCAACCUCCACAGUGUCAGGUUGGUGGUUGAUCUCUGGAGGGGACAAACCCUCUCUUUGGUGUCAGGAGCUCCUCUGCCCACCCUGGGCAUGGGGAAGGAGCAGCUCUGGCAGCCCCCAGCAUCCUCCUUGCCUUGUCCCUCCCAAGGAACUGAGCCUUUUUGGCUCCACUCAUCCUUUGGACGUUCUGUGGCUGGAAUGGCGCUGGAGGAGCUGGGGGCAGCUCAGGAGCAUCUCAAGUGCUCUACUGGGGAAGUGCUCUAUUGGGGUUUCCCCACAGGUGCUCCUGAUAGCUGGGUGGGCUUUGGGACAAGACAGUGAUGUCCAGGUUCCCACCUCCCAAGGGUGUUCUGUGCUGCUUGUGCCAGCACACGCUGUAGAUCAUCCUGCUGGGAAUCAGCCUUGGGGAGCAGCACACUGAUGCGACACAAGGGUGCUCUAGCCCCAGCUCUGGAAUCUGCGUACCCCAUCCCUUCAAACACAGGAUGGAGCAGUGCCCAAAUCAGCCCUGGAAGGUAGUGGUGCCAGGGAGCCACAGGGCAUCAUGCUGCUUAUCUGUGACAGCCCCAACAAUCUUUAAAGUAAAAAACCACAACACAAAUCUCUGCCACACAAAUUCACACUGGAGCCCCCAAAAGUAAAGCUCAUAACACCAGUGAAGCAUCGUGCUUCAUGUGGGGCUGGGUGGGAGAGGCAGGAAUUGAGGGAGAGGGGAGGACACACACACACACAC